GCAGGGGCAAUCUGUGGCAGGCCAGCUAAAUCUGCUGUUGUAACCACCACCACAUUCUGUAGUCCUGUGCUGAAACAGCGACAUGCAGCAGUCAAGGAGAAUUACAGAGUAUUUCAUUUAUGCUGAUUGGAAGUGUCUAAGCAGUACCACCAUGGCCUUUGUGCCCCAGGAAAUCACUGAGGUCCUUUAUGGCUGCUGAGCAUAUCUAGAAGAACCUUUCUGCAAUGUUCUCCCUCCCCUGCCAGUUGUUUAUUCAUGCAUCGACAAUGAGGAGCAGUUGAAGUUGGAGCCAUCCCGAUACAUCUACAGGAUAAACACGUCCAUAAGAAUCGAAUGCUUCUGCCCUGCUUUGUUAAGCCCUCCACUGGUUCAGAAGUCAUUGGGGACUUCCAGCUGUGAGUUAAAGAGGCAGCACUGACAUUUCGAUCUCUGGACUAAGGAUGCAAAGAAGUCUUUCUGUCCAGGGAAGGACUUGGACCACUAUCCAGGGGUACAUGGAGGCAGAGAAGACUUCUCCAGCUUCCUUCCUUCACCUUUUAGUUUGACUCCACUGAAAUAGACGGAAUAAGAGCAAGAACAAAUCUGGACUAUUUUACAGUGAUUUAAAGCCUGGUUUCACAUAGAAUUACACAUUUGUGUCUUCUUUCCCAAUAUCUUUUGGAGCUGCUGGCUGAACUCAACACUUGAAUUUUUAGCAGUAAUUAACUUCUUACACGUUUCCUAAAAGGAAACUUGUUUCAUACUUCUGUCUGAUCCUUUCCCUGUACUAAACUCCUUUUUUUUUCAAGAGUAGCCCUCAAUAGCAGGUGCAGCAUUCCAGCAGCAUUCCCAGUAACAACAGAAGUAGUGCCAUCCCUUUCUCCUGGAAAACAAUAGAGAGUGGGAUUGGUAGUUGACCCAGAUUCUCCCCUUGUCAUAAUGUCAAAGUCAGUUAUGAAGAUAUCUGAAUGUGUAAAAUUUUAAAUUACUCUUCUAAAAUUUAAAAGAAAAACCCUGAUAAAACACAUUUCAGUGAUCUUUAGUAGUGACUUGAGCCUCCUGUGAUAAAACAUUUUCGUCUAUCCUAGGACAGAAAUGAUUUGUAGAAAAGCCUUCUGAGUAAA